rnacentral:lncRNA from 1 species
AUGAGCCGGCAGAAGCCCUCCGAGUCCCCUGCGGGGAGGCACCUCGGUGACAGGUGCCUCCUCUGCGCCCUCUGGUCACCCGGCGCUGACACAAGGAGCCCAGCAGCUCCAGCCAGAGAGCAGAAGUCACGUUCAGCUCGAUCCCAUCGGCAGAGAUACGGGAAGCGGGUGCGUUUGGGGGAGAGACGGAGGGAAGAAGGGACACGGAAGGGCUCGAGGGAGGAGAGGGGAAGGCUGAGCCAUCUGCCCARGCGCAAAUGUCACCUCACGGCCCUUCUCCCUUUCUGCUCUCGGUGGCCACCGGCCGUGUCCCCAAGCCAAGAGCCACCACGACGAACGAGCAGGCGCUGGUGGGCGCUGCGGGCUGGGCACAGGGCAAGGCGCCAGCUCCCUACGCCGGCUCGUGCCGGGCCCUCGUGCAGGGUUUAUCGUGCUUCCCGGGGACGAGAAGGCGCCGGAGGCCAUCGGCCCCGCUUCGGCGCCACGCGGCGGGUGCACUCACGCACGGCACCCGCGCUGCCUUCCGGGGGGCUGGUCCCUGCRGAUCCAAGGACGGCUGAGAAAACAGGCAUUCGAUGCUCUAAAAAAAAUAAAGCUUUUACCUGUGUGCCCUGGCGAGAGGGGAAUCGCGGGGUGCCGAAGGGGACGAUCCCCGGCUGGGAAGCCCCGGCCCUCCGGCUGCUCGCRGCCUGGCUCCCUCCUCACUUCCCGCUGCGGGAGACGCGGGGAUCGGUGCUGCUCCAAAGCGACAGCGGCCUCGGUCCCUGCAGAAGGGGGGACGCGCUCUCGGCCACCCCCGGCCCCGGCCGUUUCCCUGCGGGAGCUGCCGGCUCCCCCUCCCCGGAUCGCAGAGGAGCGGCUCCUACGGAGGCAGCCGAAGCGCAGUGCUUUUAUUGCCGUUUUUAUUCCCCAGGGUUCAAACGGCAGCUUUCACAUCUGAACAACCCUCUGCUUCGAGCGGACAAGGACAGGGGCGAUUUUUUCCCUUUGGAAACGGCGUUUAGCUGCACCACCAGCCACCCGCUGCCGACCAGCGGCUUCAGCCUCCGACGAGGCUUUGGGGUUGGCGCGAGGGUCCCUCCCCYGCAAGGGCCCGGAGCUGCCACGCAGCGGACGCUGCCCCGCAAGCCCGUGGCGGAGCCGGGGCCAGAGCAGGGCCGGGAGGAAUGGCCGCGUCCUCGCCUGGUGCCGACUCCGCUUUCCCCUGCCAUCCGGGCACGGAGCCGGGACGCUGCAGCGGAGGGACACACCGGCGGGGGGGCGGACGGGGAGGCCGGGAGAGGCCGUUUGGGGGAAAACCAACAAGUCUGA